UACGUAGGUGGCAAGCGUUAUCCGGAAUUAUUGGGCGUAAAGCGCGCGCAGGCGGUUUCUUAAGUCUGAUGUGAAAGCCCACGGCUCAACCGUGGAGGGUCAUUGGAAACUGGGGAACUUGAGUGCAGAAGAGAAAAGCGGAAUUCCACGUGUAGCGGUGAAAUGCGUAGAGAUGUGGAGGAACACCAGUGGCGAAGGCGGCUUUUUGGUCUGUAACUGACGCUGAGGCGCGAAAGCGUGGGAGCGAACAGG
rnacentral:rRNA from 1 species